rnacentral:rRNA from 1 species
UACGUAGGGGGCAAGCGUUGUCCGGAUUUAUUGGGCGUAAAGAGCGUGUAGGAGGCUUGACAGGUCUGCUGUGAAAACUCGAGGCUCAACCUCGAGACGCCGAUGGAAACCGUUUGGCUAGAGUCCGGAAGAGGAGAGUGGAAUUCCUGGUGUAGCGGUGAAAUGCGCAGAUAUCAGGAAGAACACCCGUGGCUAAGGCGGCUCUCUAGUACGGUACUGACGCUGAGACGCGAAAGCGUGGGGAGCGAACAGG